rnacentral:rRNA from 1 species
AGUGAACGCUGGCGGUAGGCCUAACACAUGCAAGUCGAACGGCAGCACAGUAAGAGCUUGCUCUUACGGGUGGCGAGUGGCGGACGGGUGAGGAAUACAUCGGAAUCUACUUUUUCGUGGGGGCUAACGUAGGGAAACUUACGCCAAUACCGCAUACGACCUACGGGUGAAAGCAGGGGAUCUUCGGACCUUGCGCGAUCGAAUGAGCCGAUGUCGGAUUAGCUAGUUGGCGGGGUAAAGGCCCACCAAGGCGACGAUCCGUAGCUGGUCUGAGAGGAUGAUCAGCCACACUGGAACUGAGACACGGUCCAGACUCCUACGGGAGGCGGCAGUGGGGAAUAUUGGACAAUGGGCGCAAGCCUGAUCCAGCCAUACCGCGUGUGUGAAGAAGGCCUUCGGGUUGUAAAGCCCUUUUGUUGGGAAAGAAAAGCAGCAAGUUAAUACCCCGCUGUUCUGACGGUACCCAAAGAAUAAGCACCGGCUAACUUCGUG